AUGCAAGCAAACCUGUCUAAAGGACCUGCAGUUGGCAUUAUCUUAGUACCACCUACUCCUGUGCGGGUGUCUUUAGGCAUGGAAAAGUAGAAUUGUCACUGACCAGGGUUACUGAACUACAACAGGCUAUCUGUGUUGCUUUUACUGACAGAGUGAUUAAUCAGGGAUGCUGUGAAGAACUGGGUUGUGAUGAACCCCACCAACACAGUUUUAAACACCAAACAUCUGAUUGGGUGUAGGUCUGAUGAUGUUGUUGCUCACUCUGAUAUGAAGCAUUGGCCCUUCAUGGUCAUGAAAGAUGCAGGUAAAUCCAAUGUCCAAGAAGAACACAAAGGGGAGACAAAAAGCUUCGACCCAGAGGAGGUAUGCUCUAUGGUUCUGAUGAAGAUGAAGAAAAUUAGAGAAGCCUAUCUUCAGAAAACUGUUACCAAUGUUGUGAUCACAGUGCCAGCUUAUUUCAAUGAUUCUCGGCAGUAGGCAACAAAAGAUGCUGGAACUGUCGCUGGCCUCAAUGUACUUAGAAUUAUCAAUGAACCAAAUACUGCUAAUUCUUAUUGCUUAGAUAGGAAGGCUGAAGUUGAAAGAAAUGUGCUGAUUUUUAUUUGAGAGGUGAUACUUCUGAUAGGAUGUCAGUCCUUACUUCUGAGGUCUAAUCUACAGCUAGAAAUCCCCACUUGGAGAGAGAAGACUGACAGCUGCAUGGUCAACCAUUUUAUUGUCAGUUUAAAUGCAAGCACCAGGACAUCGGUAAAAACAAGAAAGGUGUCUAUUGUCUGGUUACUGCUUGCAAACAGGUGCAUACCUUCUCCUUUAGCACCUAGGCCAGUAAUGACAUUGAAUGACAGAAUCGAUUUCUAUAUCUCUGUUACCCAUGCUCAAUUUGAAGAAUUGAAUGCUGAUCUGUUCUGUGGCACUCUGGACCCUGUGGAAAAGGCCCUUUGAGAUGCCAAAUUAGACAAGUCACAGGUCCAUGACAUCAUCCUGGUGGAUGGUUCUACCAGAAUUUCCAAGAUUCAGAAGCUUUGCCAAGAUGUCUUCAGUGGAAAAGAACUGAAUACAAGCAUUAACUCUGAUAAAGCUGUUGCUUUACAGGGCAGGUCUCCAGGCAGCUACCCGAAAUCAACUCUAUCUGGAGAUAAUCCUAAGAAUGUUCAGGAUUUGCUGCUCUUGGAUGUCACUCCUCUUCCCCUUGGUAUUGAAACUGCUGGUAGAGCAUGAAUGUCCUCAUCAAGCACAGUAUUAUCAUUCCUACCAAUCAGACACAGACCUUCACAACCUGCCUAACAGCCAGCAGGUGUGCUCAUUCCGAUAUGUGAAGGUGAAAGAGCCAUGACCAAGGACAACAACCUGCUUGGAAAAUUUGAACUCACAGGCAUAUCUUCUGUAGCCUGCAGUAUUUCUCAGAUCACAGUCACUUGACAUUGAUGCCAAUGGCAUCCUCAAUGUUUAUACUGUAGAUAAGAGCACAAGAAAGGAGAACAAGAUCACCAUCACUGAUGGCAAGGGCUCCUUGAGCAAGUAAGAUAGUAAGUGCAUGGUCCAGGAAACUUAGAAGUACAACACUGAAGAGGAAAAGCAGAGAGAUAAAGUAGUACUCAAGAAUUCACUGGAAUCCUAUGCAUUCAACAUGAGCGCAACAGCUGAAGAUGAGAAACUUCAAGGCAGUGUCAAUGAAGACAAAGAGAAGAUUCUAGACAAGUGUAAUGAAAUCAUCAACUGGCUAGAUAAUAAUCAGACUGCAGAGAAGGAAGGAGCUGAACAUUGGCAGAAAGAACUGGAGAAAGUCUGCCUGCAAUCCCAUCAUUACCAAGCUGUACUAG